rnacentral:lncRNA from 1 species
GAUAAGGAAAGUGUGGCAAAACUCGUGAAGCUGAUAGAUAAAAGCAAUGGGUACAUCUUUGCUGGCAUGGAUGCCAGUGCAGUUGAAUUCAGCAAGAUUGCCGUUCGCAAUGUGGAUUGGGAUUAUUACAGAUAUCCUUCUUUUCACCUAUUUCAAUCUUGUGAUUCUCAUAUUCAUAAAACUUUUUGGUUAUUUAAUUAUGGUUCAUCGUUUGCAUCUGCAUCUUCUAACUUGUACGUUUGAGAAACUAAUUUUGCUGUUAGGUAGGCGUCAAACUUGAUUCAUGCGUUUUUCAUAAAUUUACCAAAAUCAUGGAAACUUCUUUUUCCCAGAUAUUGUAUCCACACUUUUCCCAUGUAAUUCAGUCAGACAAGUUUUGCUUAACAAAGACAUCUACAGUAGCUGAAGUGCAGGAAAAGUACAUUAAGGAUGAUGACGAUGUUAACUAAAAUGGGACACGAAGAUAUGUGGUGUGCAAACCUUAAGCAUGCCUCUUACUUUUGUGCAUGUUUACUUGCUUGUGAUUCAUGUUUGUUAAUCUAUUAUGCUCUUUUGUUGGAUUUAUAAAGUUUUCGAUCAAUCAAACAUUUGACUGGUUCAGACAGGACAAGCGCGGAAGAGGUGGUUUUAAUCAAACCACUCCUAACUAUGAUGUAUCUCGGACCUUUUGUACAAUAUCCUGUCAUUCUUUCAAUGAAUUCAAACCACUUUCUGAAUACUUGCAAAUUCAUCCAGUGUUGUCAUUGAGAUUCCAAUAUGUAAAGGAGCAAUAGUUGCCCUUGAUAGUAUGCUUAUUGAUUGCCUCUUGCCUCACUCAGCCUAAGGAGUCUGGUUGUAUGGUGUUCUUGUAAUUUCAUUUGGAGAUAAGUAAUAUCUGUUGUUCAAAUGUAUUUUAUAUACAAGCAGUUAAUAAUUCUGCUUGCAGAAAGCUUACAAAGGAGCUGUGUGAUGUAAUAGAAGACUACAGUCUGGUCAAUUUUUCAACCUUAGACAUUCAGGUCAUCAGUUUCUCUUGAAUUCUUUCUUGAGUUUCUUUGAAUUAUUUGUGAAUAAGAUCUUAGUUGGCUGCUCCUCUUCAGGAUAAGGAAAGUGUGGCAAAACUCGUGAAGCUGAUAGAUAAAAGCAAUGGGUACAUCUUUGCUGGCAUGGAUGCCAGUGCAGUUGAAUUCAGCAAGAUUGCCGUUCGCAAUGUGGAUUGGGAUUAUUACAGAUAUCCUUCUUUUCACCUAUUUCAAUCUUGUGAUUCUCAUAUUCAUAAAACUUUUUGGUUAUUUAAUUAUGGUUCAUCGUUUGCAUCUGCAUCUUCUAACUUGUACGUUUGAGAAACUAAUUUUGCUGUUAGGUAGGCGUCAAACUUGAUUCAUGCGUUUUUCAUAAAUUUACCAAAAUCAUGGAAACUUCUUUUUCCCAGAUAUUGUAUCCACACUUUUCCCAUGUAAUUCAGUCAGACAAGUUUUGCUUAACAAAGAUAUCUACUGUAGCCGAAGUGCAGGAAAAAUACAUUAAGGAUGAUGACAAUGUUAACUAAAAUGGGACACGAAGAUAUGUGGUGUGCAAACCGUAAGCAUGCCUCUUACUUUUGUGCAUGUUUACUUGCUUGUGAUUCAUGUUUGUUAAUCUAUUAUGCUCUUUUGUUGGAUUUAUAAAGUUUUCGAUCAAUCAAACAUUUGACUGGUUCAGACAGGACAAGCGCGGAAGAGGUGGUUUUAAUCAAACCACUCCUAACUAUGAUGUAUCUCGGACCUUUUGUACAAUAUCAAGCGAUUUUUUUAGUUGAAUCAGCUAGUGUACACAAAUGUCGUUUAUUGAUUUUUCUCUAGUAUAGUUCGUAAUUUUGGUAACACAUCUACUCUAGUAUCGUUUGUAAUUACAAGAAACAAAGUAAUGAAAUUUAUCACUGCAUUCAUAGUUAUACUUAAGCUCAAAGAUCACCGUCGAUCAUUUUGGGGCCUCUAUUUGUUCUAUAACAUGAUGUUGACACAUGUCAAAUUAUGAAGCUUGUGAUUAAAAUACUUUUCACAUAUAUAUUUUAAGUACCACUAAUAAUUAAAUAUAUGAAUAAAUAUGGUCAAUGAGGAGGGGAUAAAAUAAAAUGGUUUUAUUUUUUGAAUUACUCAACUGCUUCAAACUUCUAAGAAGUAGAUUUACGAUGAGUGGAAUCCUAAAUUGAGUACGAGCUAGGGAUAACUUAUAAAAUUGGGAUACAAGCUUCAAAGGAAGUGUAUUACUAUUUAUAUGUAGAUUUCAAAUUAAGGAGAUAUGCUAGCAAAUUAUAUAAAAAUGUAAAAAUUGAUCACUGGCAUAAUCCCAAAUGAUGAAAUGAGCUACCUUGAUCAAAAGGUCAAGAACCUACCUUCUCUUAGGGAUAAGUAGAGUUGGCAAAACGGGUCAUUGGGUCAUGUUCGUGUCGUGUCAAAUUUAGGUCGACCUAAACCCGACCCAUUUAAUAAUCGUGUCAAAAUAUUGAUACCCAAACCCGACACGGAAAAAUAAUCGGGUUACCCAAUAACCCGUUUAAUAUCUAUAUAUUGAACAAAAGUUACAUCAAAUAUUUACACACUAUCAUACAUACGUAUGUACAUACAUACAUACAUACAUAAUUUAUCGAUAUUAUAACAUAUACAUAUCUACCAAUAUAUUACACACACACACACACACACACACACACUCACACAUAUAUAUAUAUAUAAUAUUAUAUAUUAAUAUUAUAAAAUAUACAUGUCUAUCAAUUUUUACACAUUUAUAAUAUUGAAGCUCUAAAUGUAUUUAAAAUUUUAUAAAUAAAACAUUGUGUUUAUAUUCACCCUUUUAAAGAGUAAAAAAAAAAGAAAAUCAUAUCUAAUAUUUGAGUUUUAAUGAUAAGAAUAUGUAAAUUAUUUUAAAAUAGAAAAUAUAAUCGGGUCAUUGAUCGGGUAAAUGGGUCAGGAAUUUUAACCUUAACUCGACACGGAAAAAAAUCGUGUUGACCCGGACCCGACCCAUUUAAUAAUCGUGUUAAAUUUGACGACCCAUACCCAUUUAUUUAUGUCGUGUUCGUGUCGGGUAAUCGAGUCGUGUCAAAUUUUGCCAGCUCUAGGGAUAAGUUGCAUCAACCGUUGUGAUAUUGAUACUUAUCUUUUUUUUUUUUUUGAAUAAUGUUAUACAGGACUGUAGGUAUUACAAUUAAUAUUUACAAACAGAUUCUACAAAUGGGACCUUCUUCGUGGCAUGUACUCAUCUGAAGCGCUGCCCAAAUUCUUCAAACACUCUCAAAUAUUCGAGAACUGUCCACUCUACUCACAUUUCGUGAGAAAUAGACUGGCUCCACUCAAUUAUUUGAUAAUUGAGGAAGAAUUAUAAAUAAGUUCCAUAAAUAUUUUUAUAGAGGCUCGAACCCUUAUACUCAUUAUUGUAAAUAUAAGGGUUCUCACCUGGACCAAAGGCCCAUUGGUGAUAUUGAUACUUAUCUUGAGCUAGUAAAAGUGAAAGCUUCCCAAUUAAAGGAAAGUGAAGGGAAGAUUCUAUGCUCUAAUUAUUAUUAUUAGACAAAGUGUGAUGGAGACAAAGGGAACCGGAGACAAUGAUCAUGUGAUUGGCAAAUAAAAUAAAAUAGCAAGCCUGUAAAGUACUGAAGUGGAGACAGUGACCAUGUGAUGGGCCAUGUGACUGGCAAAUAAAAUAAAAUAGCAAGCCUGUAAAGUAAUGAAGUGGAGACAAAAACCAUGUGAUUGGUAAAUAAAAACAAAAUAGCAAGCUUGUAAAGUAGUGUAAACUAUAGUGUAUAUUCAAGUUAAAGUAAUGGAAACAGUGUGCAUUCACAAAAUAUUCUUUCAUCUCUCAUUGUCUUAUUCUUUUCUUUAUUUACGUGGUUGAGAAGUAAAGCCAAUCAUGUGAUGAAGCAUAAAUAAGAAAGCUAUUGCCCGGAAUUCAUUUUCACAAACACUUCAAUAUCCUUCUGAUCACUUUUGCAAAAAUCAAUUUGUCUCCUCUUGUAUUCACCAUGGUUGAUGCCGUCGUUUCCACUAUCUUGGAGCAGCUGAUUUCCUUCACUGCUGAAGAGAUAAAACAACAGGUGAUCGAAGCUACACCCCUCAUAUUGCAAAUUCUUCCAAUGAUUUUAAUUGGUUUGGUUUUUAUCAAAAAUAUUAUAUUUUUUCUUUAUUUUAUUUAUCUGGUAAUUUUAAAUUUUGAAAUUUGAAUUGAAUUUAAUUAAAAGGUGAUGUAGUAACCACUUAUUUUUAUUUUAUUUCAUUUAUAUUCUCAAUAACUACUCAUAUUUUGGUAACUUACUAUAACUUCCAUAUCUAAGAAAUGAUCAAAACCCACAAUUUUAACUCAGCACGAAUAUUCAAUGGUGAUCUAAGCUUUUGCAGAACACUCAAGUUUGUCAAACAUUCAUUAAUUCAAUGUUUAGUGAAAAAAACUCUUCUCAGCACAGAAUUCCAUGUCCAUUACUUAGACUCUCUGAAAAAUUUCAUAAUUUUCAUACAUUCUUUGAGUUUGGUAAGUGAUUUCAUAUAAUUUCUUUUCAAGUUAAAUUUUAAUUUGGCUUCUGAUAUAGUCUCUUUGUUGAAUUUGUAUCUCUUAUGAUUCUUAGAUUUUGGGCUCCAACUUUUGAGGAUAUGAUAGUCACAUUUUAUGCUAUGCUCAGAUUGAUUUUUAUGAUUUUUUGUUCCCGUUAAGUGACUUAGAAUUUGACAAAAGUUUGAUAGGAAAUCUGUUUCACGAUUUUGUUUUAAUUGACCUUUUAGUGGAAAUAAGAUGCUUAUAACUUAAUGUGGAUGGUUUGUAAAAUCAUGAAAUUUGGAUAAUAUAAAUUUGUACGAGACUCUCCAUAAUAUUUCAUGAUUUUUCAUUAGCUCUGGGGUGUUACAGGUGCUACUUGUGACUGGUGUCAAAAAAGAAGUGAAAAAACUUACCAACCACCUUCAAGCCAUUCAAGCUGUGCUCGAGGAUGCAGAGGAAAAGCAAGCGACGGACAGAGCCGUCAGACUUUGGCUGGGUAGGCUCAAGUACGCAUCCUACGACAUUGAAGAUGUGUUGGAUGAGUGGAUCACAGCAAGAGGCAAAUUGCAAAUUAAGGGCAGCGUUUAUGACAAUGCUCUUGUUGCUCCUAAUCAGAAGAAGGAGGUAUGUUCCUGCUUUCCUGCCUCUUGCUUUGGUUUCAAACAAGUCAUUUUGCAUCGUGACGUAGCUGUCAAGAUCAAAGAAAUCAAUGAAGAGCUGGACGAUAUUGCCACUCAAAAAGACAUGUUUAAAUUUGUUGGGAGUGUCAGUAAAAGUAGUGAAAGACCAAGACGUGUACAGAGUACCUCCUUGAUUGAUGAGGAAGAGAUUUGCGGUAGAGUUGGUGAGAGGAAUGCACUCGUAAGCAUGCUGUUGUGUGAGAGCAGUGAGCAACAAAAAGGCCUUCAUAUCAUCUCAAUUGUUGGUAUGGGAGGCAUCGGGAAAACUACUCUUGCACAACUAGCUUGUAAUCAUGACGAGGUGAAGAGACAGUUCGACAAAAUUUUAUGGGUGUGUGUAUCAGAAACUUUUGACGAGUUUAGGAUUGCCAAAGCGAUGCUUGAAGCUUUGACUGGUUCAACUUCUAAUUUAGAUGCAUUGCAAUCUCUUCUUAUAAGUAUUGACGAAUCUAUUGCGGGAAAGAGGUUUCUUCUUGUCUUAGAUGAUGUGUGGGACGGAGAUUACAUUAAAUGGGAACCAUUCUACCAUUGCUUAAAGAAAGGUCUCCAUGGAAGUAAAAUUUUAAUUACGACACGUAACGAGUCAAUUGCGAGCAUGAUGAGAUCCACAGAUGUUAUCUCUAUCAAGGAAUUGGCUGAAGAAGAAUGUUGGGCGUUGUUUAAGCAGUUAGCAUUUUUCGGUCGAUCCACUGAGGAGUGUGAAAAAUUGGAACAAAUUGGUCAAAGAAUUGCAAGAAAGUGUAAAGGUUUACCUCUUGCUGCAAAGACAAUGGGAGGUCUCAUGAGCUCUAAAAAAACUGAAGAAGAGUGGAAAAGAAUUUUAAAUAGUGAUUUAUGGAAGGUAGAAGAGAUCGAGAAAGGUUUUCUAACCCCUUUGUGGUUGAGUUAUAACGAUUUGCCAUCUAGAGUAAAAAGAUGUUUCUCGUAUUGUGCUGUCUUUCCAAAAGACUACAAUAUAGAAAAAGACAAACUAAUUACUUUGUGGAUGGCUCAAGGUUAUCUUAGUGCAGAAGAAGAUGAGGAGUUGGAGACUAUAGGUGAAGAGUAUUUUGGCAUCUUAGCUUCUCGCUCUUUCUUUCAAGAGUUUGAGAAAAGUUAUGAUAAUCGUAUUAUAAAGUGCAAGAUGCAUGAUAUGGUACAUGAUUUGGCCCAAUUUGUAAGUGAAAAUGAAUGUUUGUCGUUGGAAAUUAAUGGUAGUGAGGAACUAAACGUCAAAAAAUCUCUUGAUGAGAAGGUUCGUCAUUUAAUGUUAAUCAUUGGUAAAGAGUCUACAUUUCCUAUCUCCACUUGUAGAACUAAAAGAAUUCGUAGCCUUUUAAUUGAAUGUCGUAGAUUUGAUCAUUCAUCAUUAAAUGGCGAGAUCCUAGAAGAAUUAUUUAGGGAAUUGACAAGUUUAAGGGCAUUAGAUUUUCCUAGCUUGUAUUUGCCUUCAGAGAUUCCAAGAAAUAUAAAAAAGCUAAUACAUUUAAGAUACCUUAAUUUGUCUGGUCAGAAAAUAGAGAAGCUACCGGAGGCAUUGUGCGAGCUAUAUAAUCUAGAAAAGUUAGAUAUUUGUAGUUGUUCGUGUCUUAAAGAAUUACCUGAAGGGAUUGGGAAGUUAAUAAACAUGAAGUAUUUACUAAAUAGAGAUACCGAUUCUGUAAGGUACAUGCCAGUAGGGAUUGCGAGAUUAAAGAGUCUUCGGACAUUGGAAGAGGUCCGUGUGAGUGGAAGAGGAUGUCUUGAUGGUAGGAAAGCAUGUAGGCUCGAAUCUCUUAAAAACUUGGAACACCUUCAAAUAUGUGGUAUACGUGGACUGGGUGAUGUAUCAGACGUGGGCGAGGCUAAGCGAUUAGAACUUGACAAAAAGAAAUACCUCUUCAGUUUGACCCUUAAGUUUGACGAGAAGGAGAAAAGAGGAGGAGAAAGGAGGAAGAACGAGGACGAUCAACUUCUUCUUGAAGCCCUGCGACCACCUCCGUAUUUAAAGGAAUUAGCGAUAUAAGGAGUUUAGAUACAGAGGCAACACUGUUUUCCCCAGCUGGAUGACGUCAUUAACCAAUCUAAGGAGUUUAGAUCUCAAUUGGUGCAAAAAUUGUGAGCAGCUGCCUCCUUUGGGAAAAUUGCCGUCCCUUGAAGAACUCAGAGUGGUUUACACGCCGAGUGUGAAAAGAUUGGGUGAUGAAUUUUUGGGGAUAGAAAGUGAUCAUCAUGACUCAUCGUCAUCUUCAUCAGUUACUAUUGCCUUCCCCAAAUUGAAAUCACUUUCAAUUGAGUCUAUGUUCGAAUUGGAGGAGUGGGAUUAUGGGAUUACAAGAACGGGAAACACCUUCAUCAACAUCAUGCCACGUCUUUCUUACUUGGAAAUUUAUUUAUGCCGCAAAUUAAAGGCACUGCCCGACCACAUUCAUCAAACGACAACAUUGAAGAAAUUGCGCAUUGAGGGGUGUGACCUUCUGGAAGAACGUUACCGCAAGGGGGAAGGAGAAGACUGGCCUAAGAUAUCACACAUUCCCAACCUCCAUUUUGGGCUUUGACAAGUAAUUUCUUCUCUUACUCUGAUUUGCUUUGUUGUUGUUUUUAAUCUAAUUAAGAAGCGUAAAUAGCAUUUUGAAUCAAACUCUAUAUCAGAAAUCUGCAAUACAUACUUUCUAAUAUUCUGAUUUUCAUAUCUUCUGAAUGUACGAUUUUUAAUUUGUGAGAUGGGUAACGUUACCGUAAAAGAUUAUUAAUGCAAUAUGAGUAAUUCUUUUGCAGGACAAGUGACCUACAUUUAGUUUGGCUUUGGAGUUGAAUAAUAACCUUUCGAGGUCCCGACAACCAAAAAACGAAGCUUAAUUUGCCACAGAUUGAACGUAUUGCCAUUAUUGACAAUUUUCUGCACAAGCGUGACUGAACUUAGGUUGAUGUCAAAAGAGGUAAAUUAUUGGCAUGCCUGACUAUUUUGACCAUUACAUGAUUCAUAAGUUUACAUUAAUUUUGAUUUUGAGUUGAGUGAUUAGAGGUUUUGAUGGCUGCCCAUGUUAUUUUCAAGAAACUAUUGAUGUAAGAAGCUGUGGUUCUUUUCAUCAGCUUGAACCUGAAACUGUCGCUAUGGAUAACUCAGGUUUUUGUUAUCAACUAUAUCAUCUUUUUCACUAUUUUGAAACUCUUAAGAUUAAACUUUAGUAAAGUUGUUUUAGUUAUCCAUGUAAUCAGGCUGAGGAUACUUAGCUGCCUAUUUAGGCAAAUGUCAGAAUUUAGUUUGUUCGCUGGGAACUGGUGUGGACUGGCAAAGGAUGAUGAGAUAGUUUUUUGAGUGAGUAAAUUUUGGGAGCUUGAGUGUAUUGGGAUUUGCAAUUACAAUCAUCCUCUGCCUCAGGUGAUUUCUUCUCCUGCCCUGUCGUUGUUUGUUCUCUAAUUCAAAAUUAUAAAAUAUUUAAUCAAAUUUUAUGCCAGGAAUAUGCAAAAGUUUCUAAUAUUUUAUUUCCAUCUGUUACAAGAUCAAACUGAAGCAGAACUCAAACAAAAGUAUGCUACUUCUUGCGGAAAUCUUGCCUUUGUUCAGAUUAUGAAACCAUUUCCAUGCAGCAAAUUCAUCCAAAAGUUUGAAUAAGUUUCAUGGUUGGACACUGUUGGCUUCUUUUUCUUCUGGGGUGCAUUUAGGUGCUAUCAAGUGACAGCUGUAAGUAUGAUUGCACUAAGCUGCCGCUGGGAAAUUUGAGGUUUUGAUGGCUGCCCAUGUUAUUUUCAAGAAACUAUUGAUGUAAGAAGCUGUGGUUCUUUUCAUCAGCUUGAACCUGAAACUGUCGCUAUGGAUAACUCAGGUUUUUGUUAUCAACUAUAUCAUCUUUUUCACUAUUUUGAAACUCUUAAGAUUAAACUUUAGUAAAGUUGUUUUAAUUAUCCAUGUAAUCAGGCUGAGGAUACUUAGCUGCCUAUUUAGGCAAAUGUCAGACUUUAGUUUGUUUGCUGGGAACUGGUGUGGUGACAGCGUCCUGGCAAAGGAUGAUGAGAUAGUUUUUUGAGUGAGUAAAUUUUGGGAGCUUGAGUGUAUUGGGAUUUGCAAUUACAAUCAUCCUCUGCCUCAGGUGAUUUCUUCUCCUGCCCUGUCGUUGUUUGUUCUCUAAUUCAAAAUUAUAAAAUAUUUAAUCAAAUUUUAUGCCAGGAAUAUGCAAAAGUUUCUAAUAUUUUAUUUCCAUCUGUUUGCCUUGAUAACUUUGCAGCAAAUGUACUAGUUAAAGAACAAAUCGAAACAGAGUUCAGUUAAAAGUUUCUUCUGCCGUCAUAUUUGAAAAAUGAACCCAUUUCCAGGAAGCAAUGGGCAGCAAAUUCAUAUAAAGCGUAGACAAUGAUGAGCAAACAGGUGAUUCACAAUUUCACUUUUUUUAAUGAAAUUAAUUGUUUGGUUGGAGCGGACAUUGUUAGAAGGCUAUUGAGCUAACCUAUGUCACUACUUGCCUAGAUUACAGGGGGUCAAAACUCAAAAGCGGCAUUGAAUUUUAAAAGGCAUCCAAUAAUUCUUGUGGCCAUAUAUCAAUUCAUGUAAGUUUGAAUGUAAUUAUUGGUGAAGGGGUUUCACUUCCCGUCUCUAAAUAAAAAUACUGAUUCUUUAAGGUACCUGCCACUAGGGAUUGCGAGAUUAAUGAGUCUUUGGACAUUGGAAGAGCUCCUUGUGAGUGGAGGAGGAGGUGUUGAUGGUAGCAAAGCAUGUGGGCAGUGGGCUUGAAUCUCUAAAAAACUUGGAACUCCUCCAAGCGUAAGUAUACGUAUACUGGGAAAUGUGUUAGAUGUGGAUGAGGCUAAGAGAUUAGAGCUUGACAAAAUGAAAUACCUCUUUCAUUGAGACUUAAAUUUGAUGGGGAAGAAGAAAAAGAAGAGGGAAGGAGGAAGAAUGAGGAUAAUCAACUUGUUCUUGAAGCCUUGCAACCACCUCUGAAUUUGAAGGAAUUAGAGAUUUGGUCAUACAGAGGCAACAUUGUUUCCCCCCGGAUGAUGCAAAAAUUGAAGGAAUUUACCAAUCUAAGGAGUUUGACACUCUUUAAAACUGCAAAAUUUGAGAGCAGUUGCCUCCUUUGGGAAAAUUGUGAUCCUUUGAAAAUCUCAGCAUAUUGUACAUGGAGAGUGUGAAAACGGUGGGUAAUGAAUUUCUGGGAAUAGAAAGUGAUCUUCAUGACUCAUCUUCAUCUUCAUUAGUUAUUAUUGCCUUCCCCAAAUUGAAAUCACUUUCAGUUGAGGGAUUGAUGGAAUUGGAGGAGUGGGAUUAUGGGAUUAAAAGAACAGGAAACACCUUCACCAACAUUAUGCCACGUCUUUCUUCCUUGGAAAUUAGUGUGGGGUUAUGGGAUCGCACAACGACGUUGAAGGUAUUGCAGAUUGUGGCAUGUGGUACUCUAAGAAGACGUUACAGACAGGGGAGAGCAGAAGACUGGCCUAACAUCUCUCACAUUCCAGACAUCAUGAUUGUGUGAAAAGAUGCCCUUGACAAAAUUCUCUAGGCGGCUACAUGGAGUACAAUCAUAAAAUGCUAAUGUGGCCACCCUGGUUCUUAAUUAAGGUUGUGAAAUAUUAUUGUAAAAGAUGAUUAAUUCAAUUUGAGUUAUUCGUUUGCUUUGAUAAUGAUAGUAAUUUUAUAUUUUGACAAUUUGCAAGGUGAGAAUGGUGCUGAUUGGUGAUACAGGAUAUGGUUCAAACACCAUUGAAUAAAGCUACGGACAUGGUGGCUCAACUUAGCUAGAUUCCUGUCAAAAUUGGUAAGUUGGCUUGUCAAUGUAUUGAUGCUUUUGUUUUCUCUCAACCCUAAUUACCUUACCUUCAUUUAGUUUGGCUUUGGAGUUGAGUAAUACCUUUUGAGGUUCUCAAACAGAGCAGGACAACCGAAAAAAAAUAGCUUAAUUUGCUGCAGAUCACGUGUUACCAAUUAUUUAAGGUAAUUCUCGUUUACUUGCUUCUACACUAUAGAGUACGUGUUCUGGCUGGUUUAUGUAAUUCAUCAAAUGUUAUUUCCUUAUUGUUCCAUUGAUAUAUUUGUUAGAAUGUGAAACCAUUUCCAGGCAGCAGUUGGCAGUGAAUUCAUGCAAAUGUUGAUGCCAUUCAUAGAUAUUGAAGACAAUGAUGAGCCAAAGGUGAUAAAUCAUUAAUGCAUAGUUACCAAAACCUCCAUCCUUCUCUCAAAAGAAGCAUUGCAGUGCUACAAUGCUGCUACUGGUAAAUUUAAAUCCCAUAUUAGACUUUCCUCACAUAAGAAGCUCUGCUGUACGGCCAAGGCGGAUGUACGGUACAGCAGACCUAAAUAGCAUAGUUUCAUCUGUGUUACCAUGUGAUGUACAUAAUUUCACAUUUGCCUCAGAUUAAGCUUAAUUUCCCACAGAAUAGAGCUGUCGCGACUGGACUUAGGUUGAUGUCCAAAGAGGUAAAUUAUUGGCAUGCCUAGAUAAUUUGGCCAUUUCCUAAUUCAUAAGUCUACAUUAAUUUUGAUUUUGAGUUGACUGAUUUCUUUUCAAGGUCUGCUUCCUUAACGGAGUGACCAAUGUUUUUCAACUAAAUUUAUCAUAUGAUGCAGGAAGCAGGGCAGGAUAUGAAAUGAGAAGCUCAUUGGUGGAAGUAUUGCCAGUAACAGAACCCAAAGAAAAUGAAACUAUUUCAAGGCAGCAGUUGGCAGUUGCAAGUGAAUGGAGGCCCUGACAAAAUUCUCAAGCGGUUGCAAUGCAAUUACGAUCAUCCUCAGCCUCAGGUAAUUUCUUCUCCUGCUCUGUUUUUAUUUGUUAUCUAAUUAAAAAGCAUAAAGUAUCUUGAAUCACUUUCUCUAUCUGGAAUAUAUGCAGCAGUUUCUAAAAUCUUCAUAUGAGUGUAAUGAUGGUAAUUUCUGUUUUUUGUCUGUCAUUGAAUGUUAGACAACUUUCAGUGAGACUCUUGAACCGAGACAUUUUUGACAACUGAAGGACAAUUGCUGAAGAGUGGGAAUGGUGCUAGAUUGGGGAAUAAAGACAACGGAGGUAAAUUAUUUGCAGUUUAUUCAGCAUUAUUUGCUUUGGACCAGCGCCUGAUUCACAAGUCUCCAUAAUUUGGCUUUUGACCAGUUGUUAAUAAAUUUUUUUAUUCCAUUGGUGCUAAAUGUACACGUGAAGCAGGCAGAGCAGGACUGUGGAAAUGAGAAGGUUUUUAGUGAAAGCUUAAACUCAGGUAAUUCUAAAAAGUACAUGUUUUGGCUGAUUUAUCUAAAUCAGGAAAUUUUAUUUCCAUCUGUUACAAGAUAAAACAGAAACAGAACACAAAGAAAAAUAUUCUACUUCUUGUGGCAAUCUUCCAGGAAGCAGUUGGCAGCAAAUUCAUAUGGAGUGUAGACAAUGAUGAGCAAAAAGGUGAUUCGCAAUUUCUUUUUUUUUUUUUUUAAGUGAAAUUAUUUGUUAGAUUGAAGCUGAUAUUGUAAGAAGGCCAUUGAGCUAACCUAUGUCGCCACUUGCCUAGAUUGCAGGGGGUCAAGACUCAAAAGAAGCACUGAAAUUUAAAAAGCAUGCAAUAGUUCUUUUGCCAUGUGUCAAUUAAUGCAAGUUUGAAUAAGUUUAUUGGCUGAACGAUGUUAGCUUCUUUUCCUUUCGUGCACUUUGGUAUGCUAUCAAGUGACAGCCGUAUGUAUGGCUUGCGUAUAGCUGCUGCUGGGAAAAUUGACGAUUUCAUGGCUGGCCGUGUUAUUGUCUUAAAUUAGUUGUGAUAAGCUGUUGCUUGGAGAUUCUGUUGCCAAGACUUUGCUCACAUCAGAAGCUGUGGAAUCUGAACCCUUCGUUAUGUAUCAUCUUUUUCAUGCAGGAAAAAGUUUCUUCGGCCACCAUAUUUGAAAAUGAAGCCAUUUCCAGGAAGCAGUUGGCAGCAAAUUCUUUGCCUUUCGUGCACUUUGGUAUGCUAUCAAGUGACAGCUUCUUUGUCUUAAAUUAGUUGUGAUAAGCUGUUGCUUGGAGAUUCUGUUGCCAAGACUUUGCUCACAUCAGAAGCUGUGGAAUCUGAACCCUUCGUUAUGUAUCAUCUUUUUCAUUGUUUUAAAACUCUCAGGAUUAAACUUGAGCGAAUUUGUUCGGUUGUCUAUAUAAUCAUGUAUUGAGUAACCUCUCAGGAUACUGAGCAGGCAAAUGUUAUAACUCGGUUUGUUAGCCAAAAACUUGUUGAAGAUUCUUGACAAAGCUGCAUCAAGUGAAUUGUCGGAGCUCUGAGGGUGAGAGAAAUUAGAGGGUGUAUAGGGAUUUGGAUUUGUUAGGAAGUUAUCAUUUUUAUUUUUUUCACAGAAAAUCUUCUGGUGGUGCUAUAUUUUCAAACGACAGUCCGAUUCAAAACUUGAUAUUCCAAUUAUAUUCAUAAGCUUCUACAGUUAUCUUCAAAAAGACAAAUGGAAGGCUUUGAACGGCUUGGGUCUGAGUAUUGUAGUUUGAUUUAUUUUGAUGAAAGUACCUUUUGACAUUGAGAUUCUUUCAUGAGUUAAACAUUCUUUUUAAAACCAACUUAUUAAAAAAAAAAAGUAACUAACAUAUAUUAUUUUGUUAGUGCUUUUUAAAUCAAAUAUAAAAAAGAGAACUGUAAUUCUUAGCAACCAAUUUUUCACUGAGUACACCUACAACAAACUAUUAAAAAAUAAAGUGAUAAAAAAUGCCUGAUUUUUCGUACUUUCUAAUUACUUUUGGUCCUAAAAUAUGGCGAUUUGUGUAAUAAUAAGCCCAUGUAUAUCUUUAUGCCAUUAGUUAGAUAAAUAUCUAUCAAGGAUAACUUAUUAAGCUAAAAAUAUUUGAAGGAUAAAAUGGUAAAACUAAAAGGGUGGAGUAAUAUAGUUAUUUAAGAUUACAUAGUAAGUCAACUAUAUUCGAGGGAUAAAAUAUUAAAACUUAAAUAGUGAUAUUAAAAAUAUCUCGGCUAUUAUACUAUUAAACCAUAUGCCGUAAUAAUUUUUUUUUUCAAACUUUAAAAAAUUCAGGAUUUUAAAUUAAAACAUGGAUUUCUUUAAGAUGCUAUAUGUGUUUUUACAAUAUUGAUAAUGGGAUUAGUGUGGACCCUUAGAUGAAAGAGUUUUAAUCUGAAUCAUUCAUUUAAUAUAAUAGAUAAUUAAAUAAUUAAUUAAAAUAUAGCAGGUAACUUAUAGGUUGCAGGUAAAAAAUUAAUUUUUUAAUUUUAAAUUAAAAUUAAUUUGGAACAAAACCAUCCACACCCCUAAGGUUUACUUAAAUGAUCAUAUAAAUCCCUUUAGUUUCUACAUAGUUAUACAAACCCUCUUAAUUUCAUAAAUUAUUAUUAUACUUUUAAUUAAAACAACCUAAAUGAAUAUAAAUAUAGUUACCCUCUUAAUUUCAUAAAUUAUUAUUAUUAUACUUUUAAUUAAAAUAACCUAAAUGAAUAUAAAUAUAGUAAUAGGAUAGAAAUAAUAAAUAAAUAUCAGAUGAAACAAAUAAAAUAUUACAAUAAAUACAAUUAAUUAAAUAACAUGUAGGAUGAAAAUUUUAUUCAUAUUAAGUUAUUAUUAGUCUAUCCCAACGGAUUUACUCAAAUAAAUUAAUCAAAAUUUAAUUUUAAGAUUGAUGUUAAUAUGGACAUAAUUAAAUAAGAUGUUGUAAUAUAUAUUACUUUGAAUGUUAAGUAUAAUCAUCUAAUAUUAUUAGUAUGUGAAAUAGAUUUUAAUAUUAUUAAAAGAAUAUGACAAUAUAUAAUUUUGACAUAAAUUUUUUAGUAUUCAUAAUAUUUUAUAAAUUUUAUCUUAUUUUAUAUAUUAUAUUUUUUAAUUUUAAUGUAUUAUAUAUGAUCAUUUAAGCAAAUUUUGGAGGUGCGGUGGUCUUUUCCCUAUUAAUUUUAUAGCAUAUUUAAAGUGUUAUAUCAUACAUCAUACAUCGCACUUUUGUUAAAGUGUUAUGUUAUUAAAAAUUAAACUUUGCAUUUAUAAUAUACUACCAUUUUAAUGUAAAGGUAAUAGAAUAUAUGAAGAUAUUUUUAAGUAGUCAAUUGUAGUUUUCUUUUACAAAAUAGCAGUAUAGAAACACACACACACACACACACACACACAUAUCAAGUACUUGUAUGUUUCCCUAACUUUUAUUAAUAGGAAGGAAAUUAAAUUCGUAAUUUUCCCAGUGAAUUAUGAAUUGAUAAAUGAAAUAUAAAUAUUAGUAAAAAUUAAUUUGUCGACUAAAUAAGUAAUUUAAGGUCAAAUGAGAUAUAUCACAUGAUAUUUGAUACAGUAGUCCAAUUUUCAACAUUUGCAUAUAGUUUCUAAGCUAGUAAUCUAAUAAAAUAUACCAAAUGAGAAAUUCAAGGCUAUUAUUUAUAUUUCACCAUUGGACAAACACCAUACAUUAGAAUAAAAAAAUCUCACAGUAGAGACGGCAUUUGUUUGCAUGUUUUGAAAAUAGAUUUUGAAAUUAGUUUAAUUACAUGAUAAUUAAAUUAUAUUAUAAAAUUAAGAAUAUGAUUUAAGUACUAUUUUAGCAAUUUUGAGUCUCACAUUGAGUAUUCAAGUUAAUUAAAUGUUGAAACUCUUUUCUAUUUGGCUUGAAAUCACUACUUAAUUAAAUUACAAAAAGUCGAUAAUGAAUGAUGUAGGACACAUAUGUAAAAUAAAUUUUAAAGUGUAAUUAAACAUUCCUAUCAAUAUUAGUUUCGUAUACAUGUUCAUAUAUUUUACUGAAACCAUAUAUAAUUAAAUUUUGUGUAAUUAAGUAAAAUAUAUUAUUCAAAUGAAUUUAUGAGAAUAUUUAAAAUUGUAGGGGUGGUCACUGAAAUUUGCCAAACUUGAGCCAACCAUGCAUGAUCCAAACAGUUUAUUUUAAUAAUUCUCAAUAUGUUAGUCUGUUUGACUGUUGGCAAAAUAAAUUCCUAUCAGCAAUGCAACACAAUUCAAAAUCAUAUCUGCAUACAACGAACAAUAUCUCAUCAAAGAUCAAAUUAUACAUUUUUUACACCAAAGCAUAAAUAUCUAAAUUAUCCCUCUUCAACUCACCAAGCUCAUACCUAACAACAGCAAGAUUAAAUGUCAUUUGAUCCAUCUUUUUUAUUAAGCUUUAUCAAUUCUUCUCAUGGUUGCAAUUUUGAAAGCUCGCUUCGCUAUUUCCAUUUGCUUUUAUGCUUUGUUUGAGCUCCAUCUUUUCUCUCCAUCUACAUUUUACACUGUAAAAAAAAUUUUAAAAAAAUUACAAAGCUUCUUAUACUAGAAUAUGAGCAACAAUAUAAAUAAUAAACAAUAAAGUUAUGAUAGCACAACAUACUCAUUAAAGUGCUUCUUUUUUUUUUUUCAACAAGAAAUUACUACUGAAUUAAAGAUGGCUUUGCAUUAAGGUUUGCCUUCAAUAACUCAACUCCCCACUUGGGUUUUGUCGUUUUCUUAAAAUCUCUGCUCAAUCAAUUUAAAGAUCCAUUUUUUUUUUCUUUCCAAAGAUCUAAAAGCAAUGUCUUUUAUUGGUACCCAACAAAAAUGCAAGGUCUGUGAGAAGACAGUUUGUCCAGUUGAGCAGUUAUCUGCUGAUGGGGUUGUUUAUCACAAGUCUUGCUUCAAGUGCUAUCACGGCAAAGGCGCACUCAAGCUAAGCAAUUACUCAUCCCUGGAAGGUGUUCUUUACUGUAAGCCUCACUUUGAGCAGCUUUUGAAGGAGUCGAGUAACUUCAACCAGAAUUUCCAAUUACCUGCAAAGUCAGCUGAGAAGUUAACUCCUGAGCUGAGAAGGUCGCCUAGCAAAGUUGCCAGCAUGUUCUCUGGGCCCAAUAAAAAUGUGCUUCUUGCAGUAAAACAGUGUGUCCGUGGGAGAAGGUAGCAGUGGAAAACCAAGCCUCUCACAAGACAUGUUUCAAGUGCUCACAUGGUGGUUAUUCCAUUAGCCCGUCAAAUUACGCAGCCCUAGAAGGCAUCUUGUAUUGCAAACAUAAUUUCUCCCAAUUGUUCAAGGAAAAAGGCAGCUACAACCACCUUAUAUCAAAUCUGCUCCCAUGAAGCGUGCUGCAGUCUCUGUUCAAGAAGCUUGAACACGUUAUGUUAUCUUCCAUAAAUCUUAUUUGGCGUGGGUUUUCUCUGGCUUGAGGGUGUGCUUUCUAUUUUGAUCCCUCUUGUUGUUUUUGCGGGGAACUACCAAACCUUCGGUUCCCUCUGCUUCUUUGGAUCAUCUUUGUUUGGACAAAUUUCAUGUAAUUAGAGAUACCGAUUUAUGGGAGGCAUAAUCCCAUGGUCGUAAAUUGACCAUUUUCUGGCAAUGUUCUUUUUAAAAAGAGAUGAGCAGUUGUUUAAAAAAAAAAAAAUUGCUUGCCUUCAUCAUUGUAUAUUACCAAACUGCUAUGUAUAGCUGCUAACUAUGAGCAUCCGAAAAUAUGGUGCAUCGUGAUUCAUGUAGUGCAAUAUGGCUACCAACGCAUCCUAAAUGGAGUAUUACUCAGUUAGUCAGCAAAAUAAGACAACAUAACUGAUAUUAAAAAAAAAAAAAACUACAUUAAUAAGUGGGCAAGAUCAUGCCAGUUUAACUUUUCGCGCGUCGCUGCUGGAGAUGAUCAAAUCGGGGCAUAGAAAAGGAGAAUGGAAUCAGAGGCUAAGAUUAAUAAGUGGGCUUCUGCUUGCUUUGCCCCUCUUUCUUAAACGAUUGGUAGACUGCUGCUUCCGCCGAUUAACCGGGUCUUCAACCACUGCUUUUACUGCCUGCCAUCUUGUUGUUUGUCGAAGGGAUGAAUUCGAGUCGAAAAGAGAAAGCGCGCUGAAAAAGAUAAAUCACUAGUGGUUAACUGCUGACUCAGCCAAGUGUUGGCUUCACUUGAUUCACCGAUUGAGGUUAUUUUGUCUUCUAUCUAAUGCAGCGAAGAAGCUUUGCUGCUUAACAUGCUGCAAUGCAACUUUAUCCUUUGAAGUUCACACUCCAGGGCUGCGCACUUUAUGUAAUCCUAUGAGUAAAAAGAAUUUGUUUUCAAAUGUGAAAAAAGAAAAUGUAAGGUAGUAACUAAAUAUAUUAUAGCAUCAAAGCAAGAUUUGAUAUGAAUUUAGUACAACAAAGAACAUCAAAUCUGUGAUUCCUUGUCUAAUGUCACCAUCGAGCAACAAAUUUAAAAGCCUACCUAUCAAAUACACGAGGCAAUAAACGGAGAAAAAGUUGAAUUACAAGAACAAGUUUACAAUUCUUGUCAAUGGUUAAUGAUUUGUGAACUGAGAUAUCAUUCAAGAAUCCAAUUUCAAUACAACAACCUAAAAGAUAAACAGAUGAUGAAUUUUAUGAGAUAAAGAAGGAGAUCGUGUUUUAUCGUAUCUCUAUUUUCUUUCUUUUUAAAUUUAUGAGAUAAAGCGGUUGGUCCAGUUACGGUGUUAUGCUAACGGGUUUAAAGGUUCCGAUCCAAUGAGUUAGGGUGGAAUAUGAAUAUAUAAAUUCCAUAGCAUGUAAGGACUAGGAUUUGUUUGUUCAUAUCAAGAAAAAAAAUCUGAAAAUUUGAUGAUCAGAAGAUAAAAACACUUAAACACGUUUAAGUAUCAAUAAAUACUUGCUGCUGUAGUUUGAAAAUAAAAUGAGUUUAUCUUGUUGCUGUUUGAUAAAAAUUUAUACUAUUUUUAUUAAUUUUGUCAAAAUCAAUAUUUAGACAUUAUAUUUACCAAGCAUUAUCAUUUUUUUAAUCUCAUAAUUAAUUAAAAUUUUCAUUUCAUUCAAUACAGUAAUUAAUUAGAAUUGUAGCAUAAGCCCAUUUUAAUUUUCUUUCUUUAGGCUAUAUACGCUACUUAUAAGAAAAACUUAUGGACCAUUGACCUAGGCUUAUACAAUAAGCCAAUUUAGAAAUUGUAGACUCACUCUAUGGAUUACUCAUGAGUUGUGGAUGAUGAGUUCUUCACUAACGAAGUGCAUUGGAUAUCAUAUAACGUAAAAACACACAUUGUCAUUAGUCUAUUGCAAGCAUUCCCAUUUGGCACCGAAUCUUUCUCAUUAGCCUAUUGCAAGCGAUCCCAGCCACUUGGAAUCAAAAUUUAGUGAAUUUACAUAUGUUGUCUCGAAGUGGUGUCUCUUAUGGUUGGGUGUUUUUAUAAAUUUCUUAAUUGCUUCGAAUACCAUGGCUGAUGCAACCGUUUCUACUAUCUUGGAGCAGCUGAUUUCCUUCGCUGCUGAAGAGAUAAAACAACAGGUGAUCGAAGUUACACCCCUCAUAUUACAAAUACUUCCAAUGAUUUUAAUUGGUUUUGUUUUUAUCAAAAACAUUAUAUAUUUUUUCUUUAUUUUAUUUAUCUGGUAAUUUUAGAUUUUGAAAUUUGAAUUGAAUUUAAUUAAAAGGUGAUGUAGUAACCACUUAUUUUUAUUUUUUUUUAUUUAUAUUCUCAAUAACUACUCAUAGUUUGGUAACUUACUAUAACUUCCAUAUCUAAGAAAUGAUCCAAACCCACAAUUUUAAUGAUAAGAUUGGUUGAAUUAAAUAUCACUUGGCCCACAUGAUUUGUUUUAAUUAUUUUAUAUUUUCAUUCAACCAAUGAAUUAGUGCCACGUCAGUUUGUACAAAAUAAGUUUGUACAAUAGUUUGUGGUUGUAUCAUUACUCUUUAGUAAAGAGUAAUGAUAUAGCCACAAACUCUUGUACAAACUUAUUUUGUACAAACUUAUGUGGCAUGAUAAGAUUGGUUGAAUUAAAUAUCACUUGGCCCACAUGAUUUGUUUUAAUUAUUUUAUAUUUUCAUUCAACCAAUGAAUUAGUGCCACGUCAGUUUGUACAAAAUAAGUUUGUACAAUAGUUUGUGGUUGUAUCAUUACUCUUUAGUAAAGAGUAAUGAUAUAGCCACAAACUCUUGUACAAACUUAUUUUGUACAAACUUAUGUGGCAUGAUAAGAUUGGUUGAAUUAAAUAUCACUUGGCCCACAUGAUUUGUUUUAAUUAUUUUAUAUUUUCAUUCAACCAAUGAAUUAGUGCCACGUCAGUUUGUACAAAAUAAGUUUGUACAAUAGUUUGUGGUUGUAUCAUUACUCUUUAGUAAAGAGUAAUGAUAUAGCCACAAACUCUUGUACAAACUUAUUUUGUACAAACUUAUGUGGCAUGAUAAGAUUGGUUGAAUUAAAUAUCACUUGGCCCACAUGAUUUGUUUUAAUUAUUUUAUAUUUUCAUUCAACCAAUGAAUUAGUGCCACGUCAGUUUGUACAAAAUAAGUUUGUACAAUAGUUUGUGGUUGUAUCAUUACUCUUUAGUAAAGAGUAAUGAUAUAGCCACAAACUCUUGUACAAACUUAUUUUGUACAAACUUAUGUGGCAUGAUAAGAUUGGUUGAAUUAAAUAUCACUUGGCCCACAUGAUUUGUUUUAAUUAUUUUAUAUUUUCAUUCAACCAAUGAAUUAGUGCCACGUCAGUUUGUACAAAAUAAGUUUGUACAAUAGUUUGUGGUUGUAUCAUUACUCUUUAGUAAAGAGUAAUGAUAUAGCCACAAACUCUUGUACAAACUUAUUUUGUACAAACUUAUGUGGCAUGAUAAGAUUGGUUGAAUUAAAUAUCACUUGGCCCACAUGAUUUGUUUUAAUUAUUUUAUAUUUUCAUUCAACCAAUGAAUUAGUGCCACGUCAGUUUGUACAAAAUAAGUUUGUACAAUAGUUUGUGGUUGUAUCAUUACUCUUUAGUAAAGAGUAAUGAUAUAGCCACAAACUCUUGUACAAACUUAUUUUGUACAAACUUAUGUGGCAUGAUAAGAUUGGUUGAAUUAAAUAUCACUUGGCCCACAUGAUUUGUUUUAAUUAUUUUAUAUUUUCAUUCAACCAAUGAAUUAGUGCCACGUCAGUUUGUACAAAAUAAGUUUGUACAAUAGUUUGUGGUUGUAUCAUUACUCUUUAGUAAAGAGUAAUGAUAUAGCCACAAACUCUUGUACAAACUUAUUUUGUACAAACUUAUGUGGCAUGAUAAGAUUGGUUGAAUUAAAUAUCACUUGGCCCACAUGAUUUGUUUUAAUUAUUUUAUAUUUUCAUUCAACCAAUGAAUUAGUGCCACGUCAGUUUGUACAAAAUAAGUUUGUACAAUAGUUUGUGGUUGUAUCAUUACUCUUUAGUAAAGAGUAAUGAUAUAGCCACAAACUCUUGUACAAACUUAUUUUGUACAAACUUAUGUGGCAUGAUAAGAUUGGUUGAAUUAAAUAUCACUUGGCCCACAUGAUUUGUUUUAAUUAUUUUAUAUUUUCAUUCAACCAAUGAAUUAGUGCCACGUCAGUUUGUACAAAAUAAGUUUGUACAAUAGUUUGUGGUUGUAUCAUUACUCUUUAGUAAAGAGUAAUGAUAUAGCCACAAACUCUUGUACAAACUUAUUUUGUACAAACUUAUGUGGCAUGAUAAGAUUGGUUGAAUUAAAUAUCACUUGGCCCACAUGAUUUGUUUUAAUUAUUUUAUAUUUUCAUUCAACCAAUGAAUUAGUGCCACGUCAGUUUGUACAAAAUAAGUUUGUACAAUAGUUUGUGGUUGUAUCAUUACUCUUUAGUAAAGAGUAAUGAUAUAGCCACAAACUCUUGUACAAACUUAUUUUGUACAAACUUAUGUGGCAUGAUAAGAUUGGUUGAAUUAAAUAUCACUUGGCCCACAUGAUUUGUUUUAAUUAUUUUAUAUUUUCAUUCAACCAAUGAAUUAGUGCCACGUCAGUUUGUACAAAAUAAGUUUGUACAAUAGUUUGUGGUUGUAUCAUUACUCUUUAGUAAAGAGUAAUGAUAUAGCCACAAACUCUUGUACAAACUUAUUUUGUACAAACUUAUGUGGCAUGAUAAGAUUGGUUGAAUUAAAUAUCACUUGGCCCACAUGAUUUGUUUUAAUUAUUUUAUAUUUUCAUUCAACCAAUGAAUUAGUGCCACGUCAGUUUGUACAAAAUAAGUUUGUACAAUAGUUUGUGGUUGUAUCAUUACUCUUUAGUAAAGAGUAAUGAUAUAGCCACAAACUCUUGUACAAACUUAUUUUGUACAAACUUAUGUGGCAUGAUAAGAUUGGUUGAAUUAAAUAUCACUUGGCCCACAUGAUUUGUUUUAAUUAUUUUAUAUUUUCAUUCAACCAAUGAAUUAGUGCCACGUCAGUUUGUACAAAAUAAGUUUGUACAAUAGUUUGUGGUUGUAUCAUUACUCUUUAGUAAAGAGUAAUGAUAUAGCCACAAACUCUUGUACAAACUUAUUUUGUACAAACUUAUGUGGCAUGAUAAGAUUGGUUGAAUUAAAUAUCACUUGGCCCACAUGAUUUGUUUUAAUUAUUUUAUAUUUUCAUUCAACCAAUGAAUUAGUGCCACGUCAGUUUGUACAAAAUAAGUUUGUACAAUAGUUUGUGGUUGUAUCAUUACUCUUUAGUAAAGAGUAAUGAUAUAGCCACAAACUCUUGUACAAACUUAUUUUGUACAAACUUAUGUGGCAUGAUAAGAUUGGUUGAAUUAAAUAUCACUUGGCCCACAUGAUUUGUUUUAAUUAUUUUAUAUUUUCAUUCAACCAAUGAAUUAGUGCCACGUCAGUUUGUACAAAAUAAGUUUGUACAAUAGUUUGUGGUUGUAUCAUUACUCUUUAGUAAAGAGUAAUGAUAUAGCCACAAACUCUUGUACAAACUUAUUUUGUACAAACUUAUGUGGCAUGAUAAGAUUGGUUGAAUUAAAUAUCACUUGGCCCACAUGAUUUGUUUUAAUUAUUUUAUAUUUUCAUUCAACCAAUGAAUUAGUGCCACGUCAGUUUGUACAAAAUAAGUUUGUACAAUAGUUUGUGGUUGUAUCAUUACUCUUUAGUAAAGAGUAAUGAUAUAGCCACAAACUCUUGUACAAACUUAUUUUGUACAAACUUAUGUGGCAUGAUAAGAUUGGUUGAAUUAAAUAUCACUUGGCCCACAUGAUUUGUUUUAAUUAUUUUAUAUUUUCAUUCAACCAAUGAAUUAGUGCCACGUCAGUUUGUACAAAAUAAGUUUGUACAAUAGUUUGUGGUUGUAUCAUUACUCUUUAGUAAAGAGUAAUGAUAUAGCCACAAACUCUUGUACAAACUUAUUUUGUACAAACUUAUGUGGCAUGAUAAGAUUGGUUGAAUUAAAUAUCACUUGGCCCACAUGAUUUGUUUUAAUUAUUUUAUAUUUUCAUUCAACCAAUGAAUUAGUGCCACGUCAGUUUGUACAAAAUAAGUUUGUACAAUAGUUUGUGGUUGUAUCAUUACUCUUUAGUAAAGAGUAAUGAUAUAGCCACAAACUCUUGUACAAACUUAUUUUGUACAAACUUAUGUGGCAUGAUAAGAUUGGUUGAAUUAAAUAUCACUUGGCCCACAUGAUUUGUUUUAAUUAUUUUAUAUUUUCAUUCAACCAAUGAAUUAGUGCCACGUCAGUUUGUACAAAAUAAGUUUGUACAAUAGUUUGUGGUUGUAUCAUUACUCUUUAGUAAAGAGUAAUGAUAUAGCCACAAACUCUUGUACAAACUUAUUUUGUACAAACUUAUGUGGCAUGAUAAGAUUGGUUGAAUUAAAUAUCACUUGGCCCACAUGAUUUGUUUUAAUUAUUUUAUAUUUUCAUUCAACCAAUGAAUUAGUGCCACGUCAGUUUGUACAAAAUAAGUUUGUACAAUAGUUUGUGGUUGUAUCAUUACUCUUUAGUAAAGAGUAAUGAUAUAGCCACAAACUCUUGUACAAACUUAUUUUGUACAAACUUAUGUGGCAUGAUAAGAUUGGUUGAAUUAAAUAUCACUUGGCCCACAUGAUUUGUUUUAAUUAUUUUAUAUUUUCAUUCAACCAAUGAAUUAGUGCCACGUCAGUUUGUACAAAAUAAGUUUGUACAAUAGUUUGUGGUUGUAUCAUUACUCUUUAGUAAAGAGUAAUGAUAUAGCCACAAACUCUUGUACAAACUUAUUUUGUACAAACUUAUGUGGCAUGAUAAGAUUGGUUGAAUUAAAUAUCACUUGGCCCACAUGAUUUGUUUUAAUUAUUUUAUAUUUUCAUUCAACCAAUGAAUUAGUGCCACGUCAGUUUGUACAAAAUAAGUUUGUACAAUAGUUUGUGGUUGUAUCAUUACUCUUUAGUAAAGAGUAAUGAUAUAGCCACAAACUCUUGUACAAACUUAUUUUGUACAAACUUAUGUGGCAUGAUAAGAUUGGUUGAAUUAAAUAUCACUUGGCCCACAUGAUUUGUUUUAAUUAUUUUAUAUUUUCAUUCAACCAAUGAAUUAGUGCCACGUCAGUUUGUACAAAAUAAGUUUGUACAAUAGUUUGUGGUUGUAUCAUUACUCUUUAGUAAAGAGUAAUGAUAUAGCCACAAACUCUUGUACAAACUUAUUUUGUACAAACUUAUGUGGCAUGAUAAGAUUGGUUGAAUUAAAUAUCACUUGGCCCACAUGAUUUGUUUUAAUUAUUUUAUAUUUUCAUUCAACCAAUGAAUUAGUGCCACGUCAGUUUGUACAAAAUAAGUUUGUACAAUAGUUUGUGGUUGUAUCAUUACUCUUUAGUAAAGAGUAAUGAUAUAGCCACAAACUCUUGUACAAACUUAUUUUGUACAAACUUAUGUGGCAUGAUAAGAUUGGUUGAAUUAAAUAUCACUUGGCCCACAUGAUUUGUUUUAAUUAUUUUAUAUUUUCAUUCAACCAAUGAAUUAGUGCCACGUCAGUUUGUACAAAAUAAGUUUGUACAAUAGUUUGUGGUUGUAUCAUUACUCUUUAGUAAAGAGUAAUGAUAUAGCCACAAACUCUUGUACAAACUUAUUUUGUACAAACUUAUGUGGCAUGAUAAGAUUGGUUGAAUUAAAUAUCACUUGGCCCACAUGAUUUGUUUUAAUUAUUUUAUAUUUUCAUUCAACCAAUGAAUUAGUGCCACGUCAGUUUGUACAAAAUAAGUUUGUACAAUAGUUUGUGGUUGUAUCAUUACUCUUUAGUAAAGAGUAAUGAUAUAGCCACAAACUCUUGUACAAACUUAUUUUGUACAAACUUAUGUGGCAUGAUAAGAUUGGUUGAAUUAAAUAUCACUUGGCCCACAUGAUUUGUUUUAAUUAUUUUAUAUUUUCAUUCAACCAAUGAAUUAGUGCCACGUCAGUUUGUACAAAAUAAGUUUGUACAAUAGUUUGUGGUUGUAUCAUUACUCUUUAGUAAAGAGUAAUGAUAUAGCCACAAACUCUUGUACAAACUUAUUUUGUACAAACUUAUGUGGCAUGAUAAGAUUGGUUGAAUUAAAUAUCACUUGGCCCACAUGAUUUGUUUUAAUUAUUUUAUAUUUUCAUUCAACCAAUGAAUUAGUGCCACGUCAGUUUGUACAAAAUAAGUUUGUACAAUAGUUUGUGGUUGUAUCAUUACUCUUUAGUAAAGAGUAAUGAUAUAGCCACAAACUCUUGUACAAACUUAUUUUGUACAAACUUAUGUGGCAUGAUAAGAUUGGUUGAAUUAAAUAUCACUUGGCCCACAUGAUUUGUUUUAAUUAUUUUAUAUUUUCAUUCAACCAAUGAAUUAGUGCCACGUCAGUUUGUACAAAAUAAGUUUGUACAAUAGUUUGUGGUUGUAUCAUUACUCUUUAGUAAAGAGUAAUGAUAUAGCCACAAACUCUUGUACAAACUUAUUUUGUACAAACUUAUGUGGCAUGAUAAGAUUGGUUGAAUUAAAUAUCACUUGGCCCACAUGAUUUGUUUUAAUUAUUUUAUAUUUUCAUUCAACCAAUGAAUUAGUGCCACGUCAGUUUGUACAAAAUAAGUUUGUACAAUAGUUUGUGGUUGUAUCAUUACUCUUUAGUAAAGAGUAAUGAUAUAGCCACAAACUCUUGUACAAACUUAUUUUGUACAAACUUAUGUGGCAUGAUAAGAUUGGUUGAAUUAAAUAUCACUUGGCCCACAUGAUUUGUUUUAAUUAUUUUAUAUUUUCAUUCAACCAAUGAAUUAGUGCCACGUCAGUUUGUACAAAAUAAGUUUGUACAAUAGUUUGUGGUUGUAUCAUUACUCUUUAGUAAAGAGUAAUGAUAUAGCCACAAACUCUUGUACAAACUUAUUUUGUACAAACUUAUGUGGCAUGAUAAGAUUGGUUGAAUUAAAUAUCACUUGGCCCACAUGAUUUGUUUUAAUUAUUUUAUAUUUUCAUUCAACCAAUGAAUUAGUGCCACGUCAGUUUGUACAAAAUAAGUUUGUACAAUAGUUUGUGGUUGUAUCAUUACUCUUUAGUAAAGAGUAAUGAUAUAGCCACAAACUCUUGUACAAACUUAUUUUGUACAAACUUAUGUGGCAUGAUAAGAUUGGUUGAAUUAAAUAUCACUUGGCCCACAUGAUUUGUUUUAAUUAUUUUAUAUUUUCAUUCAACCAAUGAAUUAGUGCCACGUCAGUUUGUACAAAAUAAGUUUGUACAAUAGUUUGUGGUUGUAUCAUUACUCUUUAGUAAAGAGUAAUGAUAUAGCCACAAACUCUUGUACAAACUUAUUUUGUACAAACUUAUGUGGCAUGAUAAGAUUGGUUGAAUUAAAUAUCACUUGGCCCACAUGAUUUGUUUUAAUUAUUUUAUAUUUUCAUUCAACCAAUGAAUUAGUGCCACGUCAGUUUGUACAAAAUAAGUUUGUACAAUAGUUUGUGGUUGUAUCAUUACUCUUUAGUAAAGAGUAAUGAUAUAGCCACAAACUCUUGUACAAACUUAUUUUGUACAAACUUAUGUGGCAUGAUAAGAUUGGUUGAAUUAAAUAUCACUUGGCCCACAUGAUUUGUUUUAAUUAUUUUAUAUUUUCAUUCAACCAAUGAAUUAGUGCCACGUCAGUUUGUACAAAAUAAGUUUGUACAAUAGUUUGUGGUUGUAUCAUUACUCUUUAGUAAAGAGUAAUGAUAUAGCCACAAACUCUUGUACAAACUUAUUUUGUACAAACUUAUGUGGCAUGAUAAGAUUGGUUGAAUUAAAUAUCACUUGGCCCACAUGAUUUGUUUUAAUUAUUUUAUAUUUUCAUUCAACCAAUGAAUUAGUGCCACGUCAGUUUGUACAAAAUAAGUUUGUACAAUAGUUUGUGGUUGUAUCAUUACUCUUUAGUAAAGAGUAAUGAUAUAGCCACAAACUCUUGUACAAACUUAUUUUGUACAAACUUAUGUGGCAUGAUAAGAUUGGUUGAAUUAAAUAUCACUUGGCCCACAUGAUUUGUUUUAAUUAUUUUAUAUUUUCAUUCAACCAAUGAAUUAGUGCCACGUCAGUUUGUACAAAAUAAGUUUGUACAAUAGUUUGUGGUUGUAUCAUUACUCUUUAGUAAAGAGUAAUGAUAUAGCCACAAACUCUUGUACAAACUUAUUUUGUACAAACUUAUGUGGCAUGAUAAGAUUGGUUGAAUUAAAUAUCACUUGGCCCACAUGAUUUGUUUUAAUUAUUUUAUAUUUUCAUUCAACCAAUGAAUUAGUGCCACGUCAGUUUGUACAAAAUAAGUUUGUACAAUAGUUUGUGGUUGUAUCAUUACUCUUUAGUAAAGAGUAAUGAUAUAGCCACAAACUCUUGUACAAACUUAUUUUGUACAAACUUAUGUGGCAUGAUAAGAUUGGUUGAAUUAAAUAUCACUUGGCCCACAUGAUUUGUUUUAAUUAUUUUAUAUUUUCAUUCAACCAAUGAAUUAGUGCCACGUCAGUUUGUACAAAAUAAGUUUGUACAAUAGUUUGUGGUUGUAUCAUUACUCUUUAGUAAAGAGUAAUGAUAUAGCCACAAACUCUUGUACAAACUUAUUUUGUACAAACUUAUGUGGCAUGAUAAGAUUGGUUGAAUUAAAUAUCACUUGGCCCACAUGAUUUGUUUUAAUUAUUUUAUAUUUUCAUUCAACCAAUGAAUUAGUGCCACGUCAGUUUGUACAAAAUAAGUUUGUACAAUAGUUUGUGGUUGUAUCAUUACUCUUUAGUAAAGAGUAAUGAUAUAGCCACAAACUCUUGUACAAACUUAUUUUGUACAAACUUAUGUGGCAUGAUAAGAUUGGUUGAAUUAAAUAUCACUUGGCCCACAUGAUUUGUUUUAAUUAUUUUAUAUUUUCAUUCAACCAAUGAAUUAGUGCCACGUCAGUUUGUACAAAAUAAGUUUGUACAAUAGUUUGUGGUUGUAUCAUUACUCUUUAGUAAAGAGUAAUGAUAUAGCCACAAACUCUUGUACAAACUUAUUUUGUACAAACUUAUGUGGCAUGAUAAGAUUGGUUGAAUUAAAUAUCACUUGGCCCACAUGAUUUGUUUUAAUUAUUUUAUAUUUUCAUUCAACCAAUGAAUUAGUGCCACGUCAGUUUGUACAAAAUAAGUUUGUACAAUAGUUUGUGGUUGUAUCAUUACUCUUUAGUAAAGAGUAAUGAUAUAGCCACAAACUCUUGUACAAACUUAUUUUGUACAAACUUAUGUGGCAUGAUAAGAUUGGUUGAAUUAAAUAUCACUUGGCCCACAUGAUUUGUUUUAAUUAUUUUAUAUUUUCAUUCAACCAAUGAAUUAGUGCCACGUCAGUUUGUACAAAAUAAGUUUGUACAAUAGUUUGUGGUUGUAUCAUUACUCUUUAGUAAAGAGUAAUGAUAUAGCCACAAACUCUUGUACAAACUUAUUUUGUACAAACUUAUGUGGCAUGAUAAGAUUGGUUGAAUUAAAUAUCACUUGGCCCACAUGAUUUGUUUUAAUUAUUUUAUAUUUUCAUUCAACCAAUGAAUUAGUGCCACGUCAGUUUGUACAAAAUAAGUUUGUACAAUAGUUUGUGGUUGUAUCAUUACUCUUUAGUAAAGAGUAAUGAUAUAGCCACAAACUCUUGUACAAACUUAUUUUGUACAAACUUAUGUGGCAUGAUAAGAUUGGUUGAAUUAAAUAUCACUUGGCCCACAUGAUUUGUUUUAAUUAUUUUAUAUUUUCAUUCAACCAAUGAAUUAGUGCCACGUCAGUUUGUACAAAAUAAGUUUGUACAAUAGUUUGUGGUUGUAUCAUUACUCUUUAGUAAAGAGUAAUGAUAUAGCCACAAACUCUUGUACAAACUUAUUUUGUACAAACUUAUGUGGCAUGAUAAGAUUGGUUGAAUUAAAUAUCACUUGGCCCACAUGAUUUGUUUUAAUUAUUUUAUAUUUUCAUUCAACCAAUGAAUUAGUGCCACGUCAGUUUGUACAAAAUAAGUUUGUACAAUAGUUUGUGGUUGUAUCAUUACUCUUUAGUAAAGAGUAAUGAUAUAGCCACAAACUCUUGUACAAACUUAUUUUGUACAAACUUAUGUGGCAUGAUAAGAUUGGUUGAAUUAAAUAUCACUUGGCCCACAUGAUUUGUUUUAAUUAUUUUAUAUUUUCAUUCAACCAAUGAAUUAGUGCCACGUCAGUUUGUACAAAAUAAGUUUGUACAAUAGUUUGUGGUUGUAUCAUUACUCUUUAGUAAAGAGUAAUGAUAUAGCCACAAACUCUUGUACAAACUUAUUUUGUACAAACUUAUGUGGCAUGAUAAGAUUGGUUGAAUUAAAUAUCACUUGGCCCACAUGAUUUGUUUUAAUUAUUUUAUAUUUUCAUUCAACCAAUGAAUUAGUGCCACGUCAGUUUGUACAAAAUAAGUUUGUACAAUAGUUUGUGGUUGUAUCAUUACUCUUUAGUAAAGAGUAAUGAUAUAGCCACAAACUCUUGUACAAACUUAUUUUGUACAAACUUAUGUGGCAUGAUAAGAUUGGUUGAAUUAAAUAUCACUUGGCCCACAUGAUUUGUUUUAAUUAUUUUAUAUUUUCAUUCAACCAAUGAAUUAGUGCCACGUCAGUUUGUACAAAAUAAGUUUGUACAAUAGUUUGUGGUUGUAUCAUUACUCUUUAGUAAAGAGUAAUGAUAUAGCCACAAACUCUUGUACAAACUUAUUUUGUACAAACUUAUGUGGCAUGAUAAGAUUGGUUGAAUUAAAUAUCACUUGGCCCACAUGAUUUGUUUUAAUUAUUUUAUAUUUUCAUUCAACCAAUGAAUUAGUGCCACGUCAGUUUGUACAAAAUAAGUUUGUACAAUAGUUUGUGGUUGUAUCAUUACUCUUUAGUAAAGAGUAAUGAUAUAGCCACAAACUCUUGUACAAACUUAUUUUGUACAAACUUAUGUGGCAUGAUAAGAUUGGUUGAAUUAAAUAUCACUUGGCCCACAUGAUUUGUUUUAAUUAUUUUAUAUUUUCAUUCAACCAAUGAAUUAGUGCCACGUCAGUUUGUACAAAAUAAGUUUGUACAAUAGUUUGUGGUUGUAUCAUUACUCUUUAGUAAAGAGUAAUGAUAUAGCCACAAACUCUUGUACAAACUUAUUUUGUACAAACUUAUGUGGCAUGAUAAGAUUGGUUGAAUUAAAUAUCACUUGGCCCACAUGAUUUGUUUUAAUUAUUUUAUAUUUUCAUUCAACCAAUGAAUUAGUGCCACGUCAGUUUGUACAAAAUAAGUUUGUACAAUAGUUUGUGGUUGUAUCAUUACUCUUUAGUAAAGAGUAAUGAUAUAGCCACAAACUCUUGUACAAACUUAUUUUGUACAAACUUAUGUGGCAUGAUAAGAUUGGUUGAAUUAAAUAUCACUUGGCCCACAUGAUUUGUUUUAAUUAUUUUAUAUUUUCAUUCAACCAAUGAAUUAGUGCCACGUCAGUUUGUACAAAAUAAGUUUGUACAAUAGUUUGUGGUUGUAUCAUUACUCUUUAGUAAAGAGUAAUGAUAUAGCCACAAACUCUUGUACAAACUUAUUUUGUACAAACUUAUGUGGCAUGAUAAGAUUGGUUGAAUUAAAUAUCACUUGGCCCACAUGAUUUGUUUUAAUUAUUUUAUAUUUUCAUUCAACCAAUGAAUUAGUGCCACGUCAGUUUGUACAAAAUAAGUUUGUACAAUAGUUUGUGGUUGUAUCAUUACUCUUUAGUAAAGAGUAAUGAUAUAGCCACAAACUCUUGUACAAACUUAUUUUGUACAAACUUAUGUGGCAUGAUAAGAUUGGUUGAAUUAAAUAUCACUUGGCCCACAUGAUUUGUUUUAAUUAUUUUAUAUUUUCAUUCAACCAAUGAAUUAGUGCCACGUCAGUUUGUACAAAAUAAGUUUGUACAAUAGUUUGUGGUUGUAUCAUUACUCUUUAGUAAAGAGUAAUGAUAUAGCCACAAACUCUUGUACAAACUUAUUUUGUACAAACUUAUGUGGCAUGAUAAGAUUGGUUGAAUUAAAUAUCACUUGGCCCACAUGAUUUGUUUUAAUUAUUUUAUAUUUUCAUUCAACCAAUGAAUUAGUGCCACGUCAGUUUGUACAAAAUAAGUUUGUACAAUAGUUUGUGGUUGUAUCAUUACUCUUUAGUAAAGAGUAAUGAUAUAGCCACAAACUCUUGUACAAACUUAUUUUGUACAAACUUAUGUGGCAUGAUAAGAUUGGUUGAAUUAAAUAUCACUUGGCCCACAUGAUUUGUUUUAAUUAUUUUAUAUUUUCAUUCAACCAAUGAAUUAGUGCCACGUCAGUUUGUACAAAAUAAGUUUGUACAAUAGUUUGUGGUUGUAUCAUUACUCUUUAGUAAAGAGUAAUGAUAUAGCCACAAACUCUUGUACAAACUUAUUUUGUACAAACUUAUGUGGCAUGAUAAGAUUGGUUGAAUUAAAUAUCACUUGGCCCACAUGAUUUGUUUUAAUUAUUUUAUAUUUUCAUUCAACCAAUGAAUUAGUGCCACGUCAGUUUGUACAAAAUAAGUUUGUACAAUAGUUUGUGGUUGUAUCAUUACUCUUUAGUAAAGAGUAAUGAUAUAGCCACAAACUCUUGUACAAACUUAUUUUGUACAAACUUAUGUGGCAUGAUAAGAUUGGUUGAAUUAAAUAUCACUUGGCCCACAUGAUUUGUUUUAAUUAUUUUAUAUUUUCAUUCAACCAAUAAAAAUAUCUGCAUUCAUCACCUUCUCCUACAGCUAGUGAGCUAAACACGAAUCAUUUCCUUUUAGCAUUUUUGCAGCAUCAACUUCUCUCCUCGUUUGUCAUCCAAAAUUAUUCACCAAUACCAUGGCUGAUGCAAUCGUUUCCCUUCUCUUGGAGCAGCUGAUUAUCUUUGCUGCUGAAGAGUCGAAACAACAGGGGAAGCUGGUGAGUGUUGGAUGAGUGGAUCACAGCAUGCGCCAAAUCGCAAAUUGAUCAAUGCUCUUGAAUUUCAUGAAAUUAACUUCAAUCAAGUGGCUACCUGUUGAGAUUUUAUGGAUAAUGAUUUGGUAGACUUUAUAUGCCGUCUUCUUUCUUUUUGCAGUGAUAUGUUUGUAUUCAAUGUGCUUGUGCUUAUUCUGUGGUUUUUAAAGUAGGUGUUUUUAUGAUAAACUAGGUCUUGUGUAUUGUAUGGACUAUCUAGAGAAGAAUAUUGACUGGUUGCAGUCAAAAUUGGAACCACUUUUGAAAGGUAAGAAGAGGCCAUUUUCCUUCAUUCUAAUGCCAAUAAUGCUGUCAUGAGACUCAUAAAAAAUGUUAAAACAUUAAUGUUUUUGGUAUUUUGCAGAUCAUUAUCUUCUGUUUGAUUUUCCUGGCCAAGUUGAAUUAUUUUUUCUUCAUUCCAAUGCCAAGAAUGUUAUCAUGAGACUCAUAAAGAAGUUAAAUCUCAGGGUAUUGUUACAUCUUGCAUCUAUGAAGGGACUCAAAGAGUUGACAUGAAUUCAUCUUUGUUAUUUUGAUGCCAGAAUUGUGCAAUUCUCAGUUGGUUCCUUUCACAUGCAGUUGACUGCAGUGCAUCUAGUUGAUGCGCAUCUUUGCAGUGACCCUGGAAAGUAUGUUAGUGCUUUGCUUCUCUCGUUGUCUACGAUGCUACAUCUGGAACUUCCCCACGUCAAUGUCUUGUCUAAGAUCGACUUGAUUGAGAAUUAUGGAAAGCUAGGUGUGGUUUUAAGUGUCUCCCUCCUACUUGUUUGUUUAGUUUGAAAUAUCAGAUAUUAUCACGAGCUCCUAUCUGCUACGUUUCCUCACCAAUCAAUUACUUUGGGUAUGUUGCAGCUUUUAAUCUCGAGUACUAUACGGAUGUGCAAGAUUUGUCAUAUUUACAGCAUGCUCUGGGUCAGGACCCUCGUUCUGCUAAGUACAGGUUUGAAUUCUAGCUGAAUCAAUGAUGCAAAUUAUGUCCAUUGCUAUUUUUGACUGUCGUUUCUAUCAUUUUCAAUUGUUACCUCCCCUUGCCAUCUACUGCCACACUGCAAUGCCUACACAAAUGUUAUGAAAUUUGUCAAUGGCAAUGCCAUCCUGUUUGUCCAGAGACAGCUCUUAGAUGCAAGUGAACAAUUUUUGGCUUUGGCCGUUGUACAGCCUUAGAUUUCAACUUGCCAUAUCUUGUCUCGGAAGUCAAAAGAAAGCGUAUAUGUUAGCCAAAUUUUAUUUGAAUUUAUUGAGUAACAAUGAAUGGUUCGGAAAAACAGUUCCUCUUUUGUUUUGAUCAGACUCAAUGAAUAAGUGUUUAAAAUGUGCCUGUCCUAGAAAUAUAGAUGUGUGGUUUCGCAAACUUUUCUUGAUCUUAAGAAAGAGUUAUCUUGAAAAGAAGAUAACAUGGAGAAUUCAGCAACUAUACAGUCAUAUUGCGUCUGUCAACUUGGGUCAGAUGGUGUCGUUUGGAUGGAGAUGUUAGGUCCCAGAUGGUAUGCUUGUUAUCAAAUUCCAGUCUAAUUCAUUCAUGCUUUGAUGACAUAUGCGGUGCAGCUUCUUAUCUAAGACCUGCAUAUGUUCAGUCAUCAUUCAGUUCUGUAUUUGGCUGUCAUUCUUUCAAUGAAUUCAAACCACUUUCUGAAUACUUGCAAAUUCAUCCAGUGUUGUCAUUGAGAUUCCAAUAUGUAAAGGAGCAAUAGUUGCCCUUGAUAGUAUGCUUAUUGAUUGCCUCUUGCCUCACUCAGCCUAAGGAGUCUGGUUGUAUGGUGUUCUUGUAAUUUCAUUUGGAGAUAAGUAAUAUCUGUUGUUCAAAUGUAUUUUAUAUACAAGCAGUUAAUAAUUCUGCUUGCAGAAAGCUUACAAAGGAGCUGUGUGAUGUAAUAGAAGACUACAGUCUGGUCAAUUUUUCAACCUUAGAUAUUCAGGUCAUCAGUUUCUCUUGAAUUCUUUCUUGAGUUUCUUUGAAUUAUUUGUGAAUAAGAUCUUAGUUGGCUGCUCCUCUUCAGGAUAAGGAAAGUUUGGCAAAACUCGUGAAGCUGAUAGAUAAAAGCAAUGGGUACAUCUUUGCUGGCAUGGAUGCCAGGGCAGUUGAAUUCAGCAAGAUUGCCGUUCGCGAUGUGGAUUGGGAUUAUUACAGGUAUCCUUCUUUUCACCUAUUUUCAAUCUUGUGAUUCUCAUAUUCAUAAAACUUUCAUGGUUCAUUGUAUGCAUCUGCAUCUUCUAAUUUGUACGUUUGAGAGACUAAUUUUGCUGUUAGGUAGGCGUCAAAUUUGAUUCAUGCGUUUUUCAUAAAUUUACCAAAAUCAUGGAAACUUCUUUUUCCCAGAUAUUGUAUCCACACUUUUCCCAUGUAAUUCAGUCAGACAAGUUUUGCUUAACAAAGAUAUCUACUGUAGCCGAAGUGCAGGAAAAAUACAUUAAGGAUGAUGACAAUGUUAACUAAAAUGGGACACGAAGAUAUGUGGUGUGCAAACCGUAAGCAUGCCUCUUACUUUUGUGCAUGUUUACUUGCUUGUGAUUCAUGUUUGUUAAUCUAUUAUGCUCUUUUGUUGGGUUUAUAAAGUUUUCAAUCAAUCAAACAUUUGACUGAUUCAGACAGGACAAGCGGGGAAGAGGUGGUUUUAAUCAAACCACUACUAAUUAUGAUGUAUCUCGGACCUUUGUACAAUAUCAAGCGAUUUUUUUAGUUGAAUCAGCUGGUGU